AACGAACGCUGGCGGCAGGCCUAAAACAUGCAAGUCGAACGGGUGUAGCAAUACAUCAGUGGCGCACGGGUGAGUAACGCGUGGGAACAUGCCCCUUAGUACGGGGACAACGUCGGGAAACUGACGCUAAUACCGUAUAAUAUCUCCGGAUCAAAGAUUUAUCGCUGAGGGAGUGGCCCGCGUCUGAUUAGCUAGUUGGUGAGGUAAUGGCUCACCAAGGCUACGAUCAGUAGCAGGUCUGAGAGGAUGAUCUGCCACACUGGGACUGAGACACGGCCCAGACUCCUACGGGAGGCAGCAGUUAGGAAUAUUGGACAAUGGGCGAAAGCCUGAUCCAGCCAUGCCGCGUGUGUGAUGAAGGCCCUAGGGUUGUAAGCACUUUCGUUGGGAUGAUAAUGACCGUACCCAAAGAAGAAGCACCGGCUAACUUCGUGCCAGCAGCCGCGGUAAGCAUACUCGUA
rnacentral:rRNA from 1 species